AGUGGGAUAGCUGGGUCAAAUGGUGGCUUCAUUCUAUGUUUUCUGAGUAAUCUCCAUACUGCUUUACAAAGUGGUUGUACCUAUUUUCAGUCCCACCAGCUAU
rnacentral:pre_miRNA from 1 species